ACCGUUGCUGGAGGCUGCGCUGCUGUGCCUCUGGUUGCCGGGAAAUGGUGUGGUUGCUGCAGGAGGUUGCCGCCGGAGCUGCUGCUCUAUUCUGCCAUUCCUUUUCAUCACAGUUUGUUGCUGAGCCACUGGAGCUUCUGGCCACUGACGGAGCCGCUGCCGGGUUGAUAUGGAGCUGCGGCUGUUCGUUUUGUUAAUUCAGUGAGUAUUUCGAUUUUCGAAAGCCCUACGUUAAUGUUCUGUUCGGUGUAAUAAAGUAUUUGCGAUGUUAAUGGUUUUAGGAGUUAAAAUCCAAUUUGCUUGUGCCGCUUGUAGAUGUUUCUGCUUUUGAGAGAACAAGCAGAGCCGAGGGUUUGAUUGCCGGUGAUUUCGGGUUGAGAGAGAAGCGAGCCGAGGUUUUGAUUGCCGGUGAUUUCGGGUUGAGAGAGAAGGUUCCUAUGACGCAUUUGGGUUAUGGUUUCGACGAGUCGAGGUAGGGGCUUUUUAUACAAACUAAUUUAUUUUAAAUUGGAGUUGUUAUAAAUAGAUAUGAUGUGCUAAAUGCAUUUUUGGUGAUUAUGUAAA